AAUCCAAUUUGGGUCAUAUUUUAUAUAUGAUAUCAUAAAUAAAUUCUCUGUUGGGAUCCCGUAUGCUGGUAUCUGAUUUUGUCUACAUUUCUUUCCACAAUAUCCAUGAAGUAGUUAAGAAAAUCUUUUGAUCAUACACACUGGUGUAAAGUGACACAGUUGCAGUCUGGAUGCUAAAGAAUACAAAUUGUGAGCUACCUCUUGAGAUCAUCCAGUUCAACCUCUCUCAGAUGCUGGCAGCGAACCAUGUUUUUCCACAAACAUCUGAUUUAAAGAAGUUUGGAUUACUAUGUGUGUUUGCCCUAAUCCCCCACCUGUCUCUCUUGCUAUGUUUCCCUUUCAAGCACUUUCCUGUUGCCCACAGCCCCUGCACCUCCUCUCUGGCUGUUUCAGCCUGCCCUCCCCCACCCCAGGACCCCCAGCCUCUUCCCUCCUCCUGCCCCCAUCUCCCUCUCUGCCGUUUGCAUCACUUCUCUCCUUUGUUAGCUCCAGCAAAACUCUCCUCUCUGGGCAGAAGCAGCAUGCACGACAGUGCUGGUGCUUCAGAGCCCUCUGUUCUGGAAGGCCAUUCCCUCCAUCACAGGCAGCGACGUGAGUGUUUGGUACAGACACAAUGAGCCAGAGUCCAACACAAGGUCAAGUUCCAAGCCUGGGUGAUCAAAAUUUGCUACAAACCAGGGAAGAUAAAUUUGGUUUACUGCUUAUCUUGCAUUCAUUGUCCAAGGUGGGGCUGUCUUUGCCUAUUCGUAAAAAAGCACUUACAUUUUUCUAUUUUAAAAAGACAAUAAACUGUUGUUAAAAGAAAAGAAAAAAAAAAAAAAAGAGAAGGAAAUAUGUCUCAUCUGAGUGGUGUUUCCUGACUGGACAUUUACUAAUCUACUUUUUAAUUAUGAUGAAUGUGAUCUUGACAGAGUCAAUUACAGAUAAGCAUUUUUUUUGAUUCAUUGCUAGAUAAAGAAGAAUAGUCUGUUGUGCAGACUUCGUGUGAAUAAGCAGAUCACUCAACAGAUAAUGUGCUUGGAAGAUGGACCAAAUAUCUCUUUAAAAGCUAGUGGCCAGUGUUGUCAUCAUAAUCAAGGCCUGCUGGCCUAUUUACUGGACACAAGUACCUCCAAAGUUAAACACCCUUGGUUCAAAUUAUUUUCCUUCUCCUGGAAGUACUGAUGCCCAGCACAGGCACCAAAAAAUGAGUACAAUAUAGCAUACUGCAUUAUCCCACCUAUACGUACGGGUCCUAUCAACCAGCAGGGGCAUUAUCCCUUUAUCUUAAUGAAACGAGAACAAAGAAGCCCAUCUCCCAAACAGAAAAAUCUCCCAUAAUCACUAAAUCAGGUCAUUCCUUCAGCUGUAAAAUUUAUUGUGUCUGGUGGUACAAAUUAUGCCUCUAAUUCAUCAAACGUGCUUUCAGUCCAUCUCAGUACUUGGCUGCACGAUGACAUCCAUCAGCACCAGGAGCCAGGAAGGUGCUGAGCCUGUGCACAGAAGAAGCUGGCACCAUUUCAGCAUGAGAGAUCCAGAAGAAAGUUAAAGUCUCCAAGAAAGUUUCCUGGAGCCAAUAACUUGGACGACAGUUGCUACGACAGUUGCAGAGCAGAUCUCCUGGCAAUCUGCUUCUACCAGUGAUGCACUGCCAGAGAGCAGGGGCUGGGGAAGAGGAGAUUCAGGUAGUGAUAUGCACGCCAUCUGUAAAGCGUUUGGUCCAGUCAUCAAUCUCAUCGCACCUUAGUUUAAUGAAGCAUAAACCUUCUUCAGCUGAACCACGAAACCUGCUGCAGCCUGCAUGGUGUCAUCUGCAAAGGCGACAAAAGACACUGUUCAUUCAUGGACAAACACCAUGAUGAGAUGCAACAGGCCUGACCCACCAGAUAAAAAAUAAAAGAAGGGAAAAUAAGACUGUUUUCUGGAAAUGACCUUGAAAUCACUGUCUUCACCUCAUCUUGUGUUUUCUAAUGCUUUCUACACUUCUUUUACAUAUGUUGGUGUAAAGAAGAAGAAGGAAAUAUGCAUUUCUCUAUCUAACCAUCAGGCUGUCCAGGAUAUUACAGUAUGCCAGCCAAUAAUAUAGCUGAUUCAAUUGGAAAAAUUUGCAGAGCAACUCAGUAUGUGUUUUGAAGUACAAUUUAAUGGAUAUGUAAUUAAAAGCUUUCAUGUACAUAUAGGAAGUUUGAGUGUGUGACUCAGAUGCAAAAAUAUAUGAAAAAAACUCUAUAUUUUGUUUUGCUAUAGCUGUCACAAAUGUUAUGUCAUUAUCAUGGUUUUGGAG